UGGUUAUUAUGUGUAAUAUGUUGGGAUCACUGCAGGCAGGUUGCAAGUUUCUUAUAUUUGCGCACCAUCAGCCAAUGAUAAAUGCAAUACAUGAGUGCCUUCGUAAGAAAAAAGUGGGUUGCUUCUGGAUUGAUGGAGGUACACCCGGUGUGCAUCAAGGCAACAAUUGGUUACAGAUUUCCAGGAAAAGGAUCAUAUAUAUCAAGGCGGCUGUUCUAUCUGUUAAAGCUGGGGAGUUGGAUUAACUUUAACUGCUGCAAGCACAGUUAUCUUUGUUUUGUAGAACAAUCCUGGACUCCAGGUGACACAGUUAUCUUCAUUAUUACUU